rnacentral:lncRNA from 1 species
AGGCAUUUGAUGAAGCAAUCUCAGAGCUUGAUACCCUGAAUGAGGAGUCAUACAAAGAUAGUACCUUAAUUAUGCAGCUUCUUAGGGACAAUCUCACCUUGUGGACCUCUGACAUUCCAGAGGAGGGAGGUAAUUAUAAAGUUUUCAGUAUUUGGGCUGACAACAAUUGUUUUGUUUAUAUAUUUUUUUUCAAUAUAUCAUAACAGUUUAAAGAGCAGAAAAACAAUGAAGAAAUAAGAGAUCUGGGUAUUAUAUCUGAAUUCCCACAUGCAUUGUUUUAGGGUUGAAACUGCAUACAUAAUUCAGAAUGCACUAUAGUUGUUUUUCGGCAAAAGUAAUGAUUUGGCCACCAAAGUUGGCACGUUUUACUGAAUAUCCGAUUGAACUUUUAAUUUUUCAAAUUAAGUCAUUGAACUAAUUUUUAUUUUCAAAUUGGGUCAUUCCGUUAAAAAAAAGUUGACAGACGUUAAUUUUUUGUCUACGUGGCGCUGACGUGGCAAAAAAAUUAAAAAAUAUUGCUUUUGUGGCAAAAAAAAAUCAAAAACAGAUUUUAAAAAUAAAAAAAUUAACAUUUUAAAAAUAACAAAAACAUAAUAAAAUAAAACAAAAAAAUACAGUUUUUUUAAAAUGCAGAUUUUUAAAAGAAAACAGAUUUUUUUAAAAAAAACUGUUUUUUUAAUAAAAAUCUGUGUUUCUUAAAAAAAAAACCGCUUUUUUAAAAAAAAUUUCCGUUUUUAAAAAAAAAUCUGUUUUUCUAAAAAAUCUGUUUUUUUUUCUAAAAGCUGUUUUUUAAAAAUAAAUCUGUUUUUCCAAAAAAUAUAUUUUUUUAAAAAAAAUUCUUUUUUUUUAAAAAUCUGCUUUUAAAAAAAACUGUUUUUUUUAAAAAUCUGUUUUUGAAAAAAAAUCUCUUUUUUUUAAAAAUCUAUUUAAAAAAAAAAUCUGUUUUUUCAAAAAAGCUGCUUUUUUUUUUAAAAAAAAGUCUGUUUUUUUUAUUUUUAAAAUGUUAAUUUUUUUAUUUUUAAGAUCUGUUUUUGAAUUUUUUUUGCCACAUAAGCAAUAUUUUUUAUUUUUUUUGCCACGUCAGCGCCACGUAGACAAAAAUUUAACGUCUGUCAACUUUUUUUAACGGAAUGACCCAAUUUGAAAAUAAAAAUUUGUUCAGUAACUUAAUUUAAAAAAUUAAAAGUUUAAUCGGGUGUUCAGUAAAACGUGCUAACUUUGGUGGCCAAAUCAUUAGUUUUGCCGUUGUUUUUCUAUAUUAUGAUCUAUAGGCUUCGGUGGGUCAGUUCUCAAGAUGAGACUCUUUUUGUGGAACAGAGGGAGUAUUUAGCAUCUAAAGUGUAAUUAUAUAAUAUAAAUUGAUAAAUACUGCCUCUGUAGUCCGUACAAUUUACGCAACUUGUUUUACUCGACAUAGUUUAAGAAAGUGGAGUGUUUUACAAGGGUUAUAUUUUACUUCAGGUUAUACUGGGUUCGUAUGGUAACUUUUGUUUUCAUGUUUCUUCCCCUUAUUUUGUUUUUACAUGUUUAUGCUUUUGCUUGUUUUCACUAAUGAAAACAAGUCGGACAAUACUGUUUGAUAACUAUGUUUAAAUGUUAAUUGUGUUGUAUAAGUUUGAAUUUUUGUUGGUAAGAAGAUUUGAUGCUUGAACGUUAUUAGAGUUGGAAUGGCUCUUUGUGUUGCCAAAAUUGAAGCAACUUUUGGUGUUUUCACUUUUGUGCUGCCAAAGGGGAUUUUGCUUCUACUUUUCUCAAAGAAAAAACAGUUUCCCAAACAUUAUUUUCUACUCUACCGAUUUCAAUAAAGUAGAAGUAGUAACAAAAUAAUGGAAGCAAAAACAGUUGUCAAAUAGACCCUUAGAAUAAUGCAUUCAUAUAUGAAAUGUGAUUCACAAAGUUUAAAAUAUUAAACUUGGGAACAGAAGUAGCUAUUAAAAAAAGUAUACUUUUUACUUUUCAAACAUGAUGUUAAUAUAGUGGUAUGGAACAUUAAUGCAUUGAUAUAUGGGAUAUGAAUAUAUGAUCACUAUAGAAAGCCACUGAAAUUGGGAGAUGGAAGUCCUCAAUAGCAUUUUAGUUUGCUAACAGAGCUGCUUAAAAUUUAUGCCACUAAAGUUGUUAAUUUAGAAAUUGAACAUAUAGAAUCAGUUGGAGAGAGUGUAUACUUCCUUACUUCUGGGUCCUGCGGGCUUUGGUGAAAUAAACCAAUAUUGAGCCAUGAGACCCUUUCUUUCUAGUAAAAAUCUUGCAUUGUGAAUUGAGCCCACUUUGUUUACGGUUUCCUUUUUUUAUGAAUCAUAUCUUGAUGUCACAUCUUCACUGCAAAGCAUAUUACUCAACUUUGGUCUUCAUUUUGUUGCACCAGAGGAUGCACACAAAAUAGAUGGUACUGGCAAAACUGGUAGAGGCGAGGACGCAGAGGUGGGUGGGAUUACUACAUACUAUUCCAUACUUUUUCCAGUGUACUAUUCGAUUUGAAAACUAAUAUUAUUUUUUUAUUUUUUUCAGUGAGGCAGAUAAAUGAUUUAGACCUGCUAUGAUAUGUGUGCUUGGGAGAGAGGAUCUGGGUACAGCCUUGGGGAUGUUUGUGUCUAGUUAUAUAACAGAUAAUCUCACCUUUUUAUACAGGUGUGAAAUGUAUGCUGCGGUGUUUAAUUAUAAGCUUAAAGUCUGGUAUGGUUAUGUUUGAUUUGCAUUUCUCAAGCUUAUUAGUGGAUGUAGUUGAAGGAUUUGCUUUGGCUAUUAGGUGGUUUUAUUUUUUCAAUGACUGCCAGAGUCCAUAUGGAGGUGUGACUGUUUGUUUUUUUGUCCUCCCAACAGUUGUAUACUUGUAUCACUUCGCCCCUUGAGAGUUUAAUUUUGUGUGUUGC